AACGAACGCUGGCGGCAGGCCUAACACAUGCAAGUCGAACGCCCCGCAAGGGGAGUGGCAGACGGGUGAGUAACGCGUGGGAACGUACCCUUCGGUUCGGAAUAACCCGGGGAAACUCGGGCUAAUACCGGAUACGUCCGCAAGGAGAAAGAUUUAUCGCCGAAGGAUCGGCCCGCGUUGGAUUAGCUAGUUGGUGGGGUAAUGGCCCACCAAGGCGACGAUCCGUAGCUGGUCUGAGAGGAUGAUCAGCCACACUGGGACUGAGACACGGCCCAGACUCCUACGGGAGGCAGCAGUGGGGAAUAUUGGACAGUGGGCGCAAGCCUGAUCCAGCCAUGCCGCGUGAGUGAAGAAGGCCUUAGGGUUGUAAAGCUCUUUCAGCGGGAAGAUAAUGACGGUACCCGCAGAAGAAGCCCCGGCUAACUUCGUGCCAGCAGCCGCAGUAAC
rnacentral:rRNA from 1 species